AGAUUGGCGUUUUGGGACCAGUCUUAAGCCUCACAGUUGUAGAGAAUAAGAAACUGAGCUGGAACUCCUCAAAGAGGAAAUGCUAUCAGCUUAACCAGGGAUCCCCGGACAUUGGUGUCUAAUCAGAAAAACUCUGCACCACACUGAUGCUAAUUGGCCAUUUGUACAUGCACUUCUGUAUGUUUCAUAUUUUGUGGCAGUUAUCCUUUCAAAAACCGGACCAAACACAGAACUAUCCCUCCUUACCUUGAACUUCAACAGUCCCUCAACAACACAUCUCAAAGCCAGGAAUGCUUUUAUCAGAGCCUGGCAAACAUUCUCUGUGUAUCAUUAUGAUCUCACAGCACCAACCCUGCAAUUUAUAAUUUUUUUUUUACACCCAACUUCUAUGCACACAGUCCUCUCUGCUCUCAUUUGCUAACAAUCCUGACAUGAAGAUGUGGCCUUUUCAUCGCUGCUCACUGUGACACAGGAUAAAGUUUUUGUUUUUUUAGGCCGACUGUCACCAAAAACAUACAGUAUGUCACCUAGAUCGGGCUCUAACCAAGCUGAUUACAAGUAGCAUCACCUAAUUGAACUCAUGGAGACCCCAGACAGCCUCUCAUUAUGCUCUCCAGCACAAACAAUUUUGGGUUGAUGUUGGCUCUUUGAUAUAUAGUCAUAUCACUUAGCAGUUUCCCUUGUAAGAGGAAACAGAGCUGUCAGCAUGCACUGUUAAAUCUCCAUAAACGGAUAGUUUCUGCACUUUUCCCCAAACUUCACUGGUCUAAUGUGCUUUGAUUGAACCUCAUCAAUCAUCCCUUUGGACCAUUGUCAGAUGAUAUAUAAACGUAAAUGUUAAAGUUACUGCUUGAACGACAGUAUUGCUCAUGUCACAUCACUAACCAGCAGCUGUUACAUUAAACAGACAUUUAUGUCUAGUUUGAAGCCCUCUGCCACACAGGCUUCAGACAGUCGAGAGUUACUGGUUUCUAGAUGCCUAUAAGGGCCAGGUUUGGGUUGGCAGAUACAAAGACUCGUUUUAUAAGUACAGAGGAAGUAAAACAGAAUGAAUAAAGUAACGGAAGGCAUAAAAUUCACAGCCCAGAGCUGCAAGCAUUCAAGGACAAUGGUAACUGUUGCAGCUCAUAAAAUCACUGCAAUCUCUUUCACUCAGAGGCGCAGUAGGAGAAUGCUGCCUUCGCUAUUGGAGAUUGGGGAAUCAAUAUAUAAAAAGGAGCUGGAAAAAAUAUUGUAAAAAGCUGUAAUUUUAGUGGUGCCUCGUGGAAGGUCAUUAGCUGCAACAAUAAAGGCUUUUAAGGCUUUUUCGUGAGAUGAAUACUCAGCAUUUAUUGAAAGUUUAGCCUGUCUCCCAGCCUACUUCUUGUUCUUGUCACUUACUUAAAUAUUCCCUGCACUUCAGUGUAGCUCAUGGGGCUUUUUUUGGUGUGUAGGGACAUCAGCAGUGACAGUAAUGUACCAUUAUGUGCUUCUCAGUGUGUUGGCCUGCUUUGAGCCUCCAGGCACCUCCAGGAUGUUUUUUUGCCAAAGCAGAGCCCGUUGACUUUUCAGCCUGUGUGGAAUAUUUUGGCUCGCAUUGUUGUCUUUGGUGGGUAGCAGGAACGCGUUGUGAUUGUACAGCAACAAAACAGAUGGACUGAAAGUGCAGGAACGUGUUUAAGCUCAAAGAAACCCCUGCUUCUUUGGUGUAAGGAGAGAGGGGGGUAACUGAGUUGAGUAGGUACUCCAAUCAGAUAAGUGUCUCGGAGAGUGCAUAAAACAAAUCCUUGCUUUAAUUUUAAAGACAUAUUAAACUUGCAUGUGCAUUCUUAGUGCUGUUUUUCCUCCCUCCCUUUAUUUUUUCUUCCAUGCAUGGUAAUGAAUAAUCUGGCAGUGAGCCACUGUGAAACAUAAGGUGAGAACAAGAGGGAAGGAAGGCUGAUGGGGGGUGAACACCAAUGAGACAAUGUGUAAAUAGGAAUGAAAGGGGUGAAAACAAGAUGCCGACAAGUGACAGUCUUUGUACGGAUUGUUCACUGCUCAGCUGUGCCUGACUUUUGUCUGUGGCCUACAUGUGAUAUCAGUGACAGAAAUAGCAUUUCUCCAUCAAAGAAUCUGCUCUCAAAGUUUGCUCCACCAAAAAUAUACUUGAAUUAAAUCCUGAUACUUUAUAUUUAGAAUAGUUCUCUUUUUGCUGCAGAGAAAAAGACCUUUCCAGCAGCUUCAUCGUGAAUUUCCAAGACUUAGGACCUGUAAUUUCUCGUUUUUGAAUAUGCAGCUGCUAAAUCUAUAAAUAACGUUCACCUACAUGCCUGUUUGAACUGCAGGUGGUGUGUCAGGAUGUAUUUGAAUGUUUAAUUUUUAAUGUUGGUGUGGUUUCUUUAAGUCAACGCAUACAAUAAUAUUUAUAAUGUUUUCAGCAUUUAAACUCUGUAUUCACAUUUGCAUAAAAGUGUGGAUCCAUUUGACAACAAGGGUGUGUGUGCAUGAUAGGGGUGAGCAAUAUGGGCUAAAAAAGUUACCACAAUAAGAUUUGCAAUUCUGGCGAUAACAAUUAAAGUCCUGAUAAAAGAUAUUAUAAUUCCAAUCUAUAUUUUUUGACUCAUUUUUUUCUUGAGAACACCAGAUGAAGUCGUCAAAUAAGAGACUUCACCACAAGUCUGAGUGGUAGGUUAUGAAGAAAACUAAUGACAUCAAACAAAUCUCAUGUGAAAACAUUUUCAACAUUUGUUGAAAACUCUUAUUGCACAAAGUGAACAGCAGUAGAUCCACUGUCUGAUCCCUCAUGUGGAGCCUCGUUCAGUAACCAGCUGCUCAGAAAUGUCCUCUUCAUUACCUUCAGCCAUGUUUGUUUGUUAUUCUGCUCGGUGUGAGCUAUGGCUGUGAGUCUGUCAAUCGCGCUUACGUCAUCAACUUGCAUGUAUCGUAUUUAUCAUGAAAUGGCAAAUAUCUAUCGUGGAGGAUUUUGCUGAUGAUUUAUCGUGAAUGAUAAUGUAUCGCCCAUUCUUAGUACAUAAUAACCAUUAAACAUGAAGUGGAAAAACCAUGAGUACAGACUAAGCAGGAUCCUUGUGUGAAUUAUUUUAGAGGACUCAUGAAUAAAAUGAGUGUAACAAUAAGGAAUGUUGCGUAAAAAAAAAAAAACAUUUUUCAAUGUUCCUGUAUUUUUCCAGAUUGUGUGCUUUCCAAAAAGUAUUAAAAUAACACAAUAAUUUGUUGGUCAUUUUUUAUGACAUGGCACAGUGUUAAUUUAGGAGCUAUUUUAGGUUAAGCCUCCCUGCAAAUCAUACCAGUGUGCCUGCCUAAUGGUCAAGUCAGCCGUGCCUCUGAUUCGCCGAUCUUAUAACCUGAAAACAAAUGUGUCACAAAAAAAUCCUCUGGGGCUGUAAAUGUGGUUAGUUUUCCUGUUCUGGCUCACUGUGUAUAUAGUUUGUGGUGCUUCUGCAGUCUGCCUCAGGUGGACACUCAUGGAACUGCAGGUUUUUAAUACUUCUCCUUCAACUUUCUCAAGGUUCAAGGUUGCCGCUUGCCUGUGACUGAACUCUUCGAUGACUUUGCUCUUAAGUAUCAGAGAUCUAUCACUGAUAUUAUGAUAAAACACUUUUUUUAUCACUCAAAAAUCA
rnacentral:lncRNA from 1 species